rnacentral:lncRNA from 1 species
CACUUUUUAUUCCCCUAUUAAAGAGGAUGCAGGAUAUGGUGGGUUGUAACUUAAUUAUUACUUCUUUUGGUUCAGAAAUAAGGGACAAGUAUUAGUACUUUCCCCAAAAAGUUGGAAAUAAUCAUCAAACACUUGUCUGCAAAAUCUAAUGCAACUUAUGUUGAGAAAUCUAGACCGUUUGGUAACUGCAUUAUUUUAAAAGCAUUUUAGAGUAAUAGGAGUUCUGAGUCAUACACCCUAGGCUUGCAGAGAAUUUGUAUCGAAUUUUGCCUUUAGUGGAUCAUUUUAGAACUGAGACCAAUACUUUUAGUUGAAGAAAGGAGAGGAGGAGAACUGGGUCUGGAAUUCAGAUCCCAAUUUCCAGUUUAUUUGAUUUUUUUUUCCGCUUAUGCCAGGCAUGAAAAUAAAGUAAGUCAAUGCUUUGGGUCCUUUGAAAUUCUUUGUAUUUUUGGAGCUGAAGCCAAUUUAUUAACAUUCUUUGCCUGUCUCUUCUGCUGGUGUUUUCCAUCUUCUUUGGGCUUUUAACCUUCUAAUUUUUCUUUAAAUUGCUCACAGUCUACUACUUUCAUCCUUUUCUCUUUAGAGUGGUAGGAAGGGAAGAAAGUACCUAUCCUGUUCUCGCAUGUACGGCUACAGAGAGGAGAUACUGCUUUGUGUCCCAUGCUCCAACAUCACUUCCCUUAGCCUGUGAUGUGAGAAGGUUUGUCCAGGGCCAGUCAGUGCUGGCGUCUUCUUGCUAUCUGGGUUAACCUUGGCAAAGCAGCUGUUAGUAGCUAUUUUCAAACACCUAAAUCCAUACUGGAGAGCAAGUAAUUAAAACUUGGUAAUUAGAUCUAGUCUUUAUAUAUCUGCACAUUUAAUCUUUUCAUACAUCCAAAGAGGAUUUGACCUCAGGAAAUUGUCCCAUUGCCCCUUUGGCAAAAAGGGAGUUUGCGUUUUCCCACUGCUCCUAUGUGGAGGGUCCCGUUAGUGGCCAUGAUGUGUGAGCCUGUGUCUGUGGCACGCUUGAGCCAGCUCAGAUUGGAAUUUUCCAUUUACUCGAGGCCAGUCACUGGAACAUCUGAAGCGAUCAGAAGCUGGAAUUUAUGGAAAAUUUUAGCACUGAGAAGUUCAGCAUAUCCCUGAUUAAGAAUGAUCAGGUUUCACCAAAGGACAGAGGUUGGCUUCACUGAGCCCCAAGGAAAUGCGACCAGACUUAAACCCCGGCAUGCCACGCCCUGGUGAGCAGCUGUGCGGUACGGCGAGGUGACACAGAGAACAGCUGUAGUCUUCAGUGCUGUCUUGUUACUCGUGUUCUGCGCAGGGAGACCUGUCUAUGGAACCUGAUGGGCUAAACUUUGCCGCAUUUGCCUUGCAUCCCCGUCACUCACGUAGCUUGCACAGGCACUUCAUGGCUAAUCAGCAAGGAUGAUGAGAACCAAAUAUGUUCCUGUUCGUGGGCAGCAGCCCCUCCAUCUGGGUGGGUCGCCACAUCUUGCCUCCCCUCCUCUGUAGCUGUGUUUGGCUGAAGCACUUGCAGGCAGAGACUGGCUGAUGGAGAAAGAAACCUCAGAGUGGAAAUGGAGAAUACACAUGCUCAUCCGAGGCUUCAAGGAGGUUGACAGUAAGGCAAAGCCUGAGUGUCCAUGGGCCGCAUUCCGGAGGAGUGUGAUCAUGCCCCUGUUAGGGACGAACAGUGAAGGUUAUGGGUUCUAGAUGCAGAAAGGCAGGGGUGCCUGAAGUGCAAGGUCCUGGCCUUGGGGGCCGGAGGUUCAUCCAGGGUCUCCUUCAGGACAAAACGGGGGAAGUAAAAAGAUUGCUGAAGUAACAGAGCCCAAAUCAGCACUAGCUGCUCCCUAACCUAAAAAGAAAGCCAGAUGAGGAAAAAGGAUGAGGGGAAAGGGGCAACUAGGGAAAAUAUUUUUUUUAACUAUUUUCUCUUUGCAUUUUCACAUUGUUUCUAAGGUUAAGACACACAUACACACCCUGCUCCCAACCCCGCACUGUGGUUCAUUAAAGCAGAAAUGGCAUAUGUAUAUGGCAACAAUAUCUGUAUAUGGCAACAAUAACGCAGAGGGAAAUGUAUUUUACUUAAAAUCUAUGGGAAGGAAGUUUUAGGCCUGGUAAUUAAGUCUUUACUUUGACAUUCGAAUCUAAAUUGUACAAAUUGCUGUGGAGCACUAACAUCUGAAUUUUUGUUUCCAGUUUUAUUGAGAAAUAAUUGACAUACACUACUGUGUAAGUUUAAGCUGUACAGCAUGGUGGUUUGAUUUGCAUAUAUUGUGAAAUGAUGCCUGCAUUAGGUUCAGUUAACUCCAUCUUCUCACAUAGAUAAAAAAUGUUUAAAAAAGGUUGUGAUGAGACACCUUAGGAUUUACUCCCUUAACGACGUUGCUAUGUAUCACAAGGCAGGGUUAGCUACUACUCAUACCUAGUGCUUAUUUAACUUACAACUGGAAGUUUGUACCUUUUAAAAAUUUUUAUUUAGAAUCAAUUAAUGGGGCAGCCCGGGUGGCUCAGCAGUUUAGCGCCACCUUCAGCCCAGGGCGUGAUCCUGAAGACCCGGGAUCGAGUCCCACAUCAGGCUCCCUGCAUGGAGCCUGCUUCUCCCUCUGCCUGUGUCUCUGCCUCUGUCUCUUUCUCAUGAAUGAAUAAAUAAAAUAUUUAAAAAAUAAAUAAAAUUAAU